rnacentral:rRNA from 1 species
UACGGAGGGAGCUAGCGUUGUUCGGAAUUACUGGGCGUAAAGCGCGCGUAGGCGGCUUUUGUAAGUUAGAGGUGAAAGCCCGGAGCUCAACUCCGGAACUGCCUUUAAAAACUGCAUCGCUUGAAUCCAGGAGAGGUGAGUGGAAUUCCGAGUGUAGAGGUGAAAUUCGUAGAUAUUCGGAAGAACACCAGUGGCGAAGGCGGCUCACUGGACUG